UACGAAGGGGGCUAGCGUUGCUCGGAAUCACUGGGCGUAAAGGGUGCGUAGGCGGGUCUUUAAGUCAGGGGUGAAAUCCUGGAGCUCAACUCCAGAACUGCCUUUGAUACUGAGAUCUUGAGUUCGGGAGAGGUGAGUGGAACUGCGAGUGUAGAGGUGAAAUUCGUAGAUAUUCGCAAGAACACCAGUGCGAAGGCGGCUCACUGGCCCGAUACUGACGCUGAGGCACGAAAGCGUGGGAGCAAACAGG
rnacentral:rRNA from 1 species